UUGACCACUGAUGCAAAAGUUAGCUGCUGCCUUGGUCCUUCACUGAUCAGGGAUUCCUUGCUUUAUUUACUUAUGAGAGAGAGGUGAGAGAACCAGAACAUCAUUCUGGCACAUGCAAUGCCAGGGAUUGAACUCAACACUUCAUACAUGAGAGUCUAAUGCUUUAUCUACUGUCCCACCACCCAGGCAGAAGUUACCUGCUCUUUAACCUUGCUCAGUCCCUUUCUCAAGCAAACCUGCACAGCCUGAUCCCUAGAAUACACAGAGGUCAUUAGGGUGACACUGCUACCAGGAGGCCUUGGGUGAACUAAGCACCAAGACACAAGAGGGACUGUGAGGACCUCUCUUAUCAGGAAAUGCAACUCAGAGCAGUGAAAUCACACAUGCCCAAGCCCAAUACCCCAUAAACCAAACAGUGAGCUAUUUCCACUCCAGUCAGCCGAAGGAGUAUGGCAAGUCAGACAUCUUUCCCAGUGAGCUCUUGUCCUGGCCAAGCUUCCUGAUUUUUGAGCAGUUUAACCUGCACACCUGCCUCUCUGCCCC